AUCGCUCAUAGCGUAUAUUAAGUUGUUGCGGUUAAAAGCUCGUAGUUGGAUUUCAGUUCUGGACUGACGGUUCACCGCCCGGUGCACACUGUCACGCUCCGAACAGCCACAACAGCCCGCUGGCUCGCACGGGGUGCUCUUCAUCGAGUGUCCCGCGUGGCCGGCAGAGUUUACUUUGAAAAAAUUAGAGUGCUCAAAGCAGGCUACACUGACGGCCUGAAUGCCUAUGCAUGGAAUAAUGGAAUAGGACCUCGGUUCUAUUUUGUCGGUUUUCUGAACCCGAGGUAAUGACUAAUAGGAACAGGCGGGGGCAUUCGUAUUGCGACGCUAGAGGUGAAAUUCUUGGACCGUCGCAAGACGAACUACUGCGAAAGCAUUUGCCAAGGAUGUUUUCAUUAAUCAAGAACGAAAGUUAGAGGUUCGAAGACGAUCAGAAUACCGCCA
rnacentral:rRNA from 1 species